rnacentral:rRNA from 1 species
CAGCCGCCGCGGUAAAACGGAGGGUGCAAGCGUUAAUCGGAAUUACUGGGCGUAAAGCGCACGCAGGCGGUCUGACAAGUCAGAUGUGAAAUCCCCGGGCUUAACCUGGGAACUGCAUUUGAAACUGUCAGGCUGGAGUCUUGUAGAGGGGGGUGGAAUUCCAGGUGUAGCGGUGAAAUGCGUAGAGAUCUGGAGGAAUACCGGUGGCGAAGGCGGCCCCCUGGACAAAGACUGACGCUCAGGUGCGAAAGCGUGGGGAGCAAACAGGAUUAGAUACCCCAGUAGUCCCUGUCUCUUAUAU